rnacentral:misc_RNA from 1 species
CCAAACUUGGUCAUUUAGAGGAAGUAAAAGUCGUAACAAGGUCUCCGUUGGUGAACCAGCGGAGGGAUCAUUACUGAGUUAUCACAACUCCAACCCAUGUGAACUAUACCAAUGUUGCCUCGGCGGGGGGACGCCUACCCGGUACCUACCCUGUAGGCCAGCCCCGCCGGCGGAUUUUCAAACUCUUGUUUUUUUGUGGCACAUCUGAGUACACUAUAAAAUAAGUUAAAACUUUCAACAACGGAUCUCUUGGUUCUGGCAUCGAUGAAGAACGCAGC